rnacentral:rRNA from 1 species
GUGUCAGCAGCCGCGGUAAGACGAACCGUCCUAACGUUAUUCGGAAUCACUGGGCUUAAAGGGCGCGUAGGCGGACGAGCAAGUCCGGAGUGAAAUCCUUCGGCUUAACCGGAGAAGUGCUUUGGAUACUGCUCGUCUUGAGGGAGGUAGGGGCAUGUGGAACUUCUGGUGGAGCGGUGAAAUGCGUUGAUAUCAGAAGGAACGCCGGUGGCGAAAGCGACGUGCUGGCCCUCUUCUGACGCUGAGGCGCGAAAGCUAGGGGAGCAAACGGGAUUAGAAACCCCCGUAGUCC